rnacentral:lncRNA from 1 species
AGGUGCAGUUUUACAUGGACGGUACAGAAUCUGACGAUUCAGCAUUUGAUAAAACAGCAACCAUGCAUUGCUUAUACGGACGCCAAUAAAACACGUUAUUGUCAACUACCGAUUGAAACUCUAGAUCGACAGAUGUUAUCUUUCAAAGAUUUGUCAUAAUUAAUGUUAUUAAAACAUACAUUGAAGUGAAUUGAGAGUUUUUGUGCUCAGUGUUUAGGUCUAACUGUGACUUUGAAGAGUAGCAAUACAAUCGCUAUUCCUUUGGUUUUUGUAUGUUAUUGUGUUGUGCAUUUACUGAUUUUACAUCAUGGAUGGAUACCCCGGCCAUAUCUCUUGUUUUUCUAUUGGACUUUGUUUUACUGUCGUUCAUAAUUUAUCCCUUUGCAGCUCUUUGCUUUUACUUUUAGGUAUAGCAACGACAAAUUCCACUUUCAAUAUGAAUGAAAUUUCAGUUGUUACUACAUGAUGCGAGCAAAUUUCUGCAUUGUACACUUAGAUGAACAAAUCUUCAAGAGUUAAUAACGUUCCAAGAAUAAAGUUCUUAAUAUUUGUACAAAGCAGCCUAACUCAAUUGUCACACACUGC